CCCCGCGGCUGUUGGAGCAGCGCGGGCUCCCACCGGCCGCUGGGGUGGUGCAGGGCUGAAGCCUGGGAGGGUGUCCCCGGAGCAGGGCCUGCGAGCCUGAGGUGGCUCGGAAGGUGAAGGCUCGGGCUCGGGCACGGAUUAAGGGAGAUGAGCUUUGUCUCCAUCAUAACGGCAACGGCUGACAGCGUUUCCACCGUGUGUCUUGUGUAUUUCCAUAGGGAAAGCACAAGGCAGGAAUGUCCUGCAGGGGAGGAGAGCCUGUUCCUGAUGUCAGAGAUCUGUAGUUCUUGAGGAAUGUUUUCCUGGACCACAUUUUUGAGCUGAAGCAGAUCAAGACCUUCCUGAAUAAAGGAGCAGGAGGCCUGAGAGAUGAUCUCUAGAACCAGUCUGCUAUGGAGGGGUAAGGGACAUGCAGAAAAGACAAAAUCAGGGCAGAAAAACCAAGUGAGUUUAAGUGAGGAGGCUGGGAAGUUCCCAGACAGGAACUGAGGAGCUCACCUGAGGAUCUGUCCCAUGCUGAAGCACCGGGCUGGGUUAGAACCGAUGGACACAGCAAACUGUAACAACCUGAGCACUGCCACAUGGUCCUCUCUGACCCCCAGGGGGGCAGAACUGCUCCCACACAGCCUCAGGGGAUGGCUGGUGCUCCCAGCUUCUCAAAUCCAUUCCCAAGGAGACUUGGCAACUGGGACGAUUGUGACUAAGAAAGCACAGGAAAGUUUUACAGAUCA